rnacentral:rRNA from 1 species
CUGCAGACGAAGUGAGUGAUACCCUGCUUCCAAGAAAAGCCACUAAGCUUCAGCUUGUAAUUGACCGCACCGCAAACCGACACUGGUGCGCGAGAUGAGUAUUCUAAGGCGCUUGAGAGAACUCUGGAGAAGGAACUCGGCAAAUUGACACCGUAACUUCGGAAGAAGGUGUGCCUUUAGUAGGUGAACCAUUUACUUGGGGAGCCCAAUGAGGCCGCAGAGAAUCGGUGGCUGCAACUGUUUAUUAAAAACACAGCACUCUGCAAAGACGAAAGUCGACGUAUAGGGUGUGACUCCUGCCCGGUGCUGGAAGAUUAAAUGAUGGGGUGCAAGCUCUUGACUGAAGUCCCAGUAAACGGCGGCCGUAACAAUAACGGUCCUAAGGUAGCGAAAUUCCUUGUCGGGUAAGUUCCGACCUGCACGAAUGGAGUAAUGAUGGCCACACUGUCUCCUCCAGAGACUCAGCGAAGUUGAAAUGUUUGUGAUGAUGCAAUCUCCCCGCGGAAAGACGGAAAGACCCCAUGAACCUUUACUGUAGCUUUACAUUGGACUUUGAACAGAUCUGUGUAGGAUAGGUGGGAGGCUUUGAAGAGUGGACGCUAGUUUGCUUGGAGCCAACGUUGAAAUACCACCCUGGUGUGUUUGAGGUUCUAACCUUGGUCCCUUAUCGGGAUUGGGGACAGUGUAUGGUGGGCAGUUUGACUGGGGCGGUCUCCUCCCAAAGUGUAACGGAGGAGUUCGAAGGUACGCUAAAUACGGUCGGAAAUCGUGUUGAUAGUGCAUUGGCAUAAGCGUGCUUGACUGCGAGACUGACAAGUCGAGCAGGUACGAAAGUAGGACAAAGUGAUCCGGUGGUUCUGUAUGGAAGGGCCAUCGCUCAACGGAUAAAAGGUACUCUGGGAUAACAGGCUGAUACCGCCCAAGAGUUCAUAUCGACGGCGGUGUUUGGCACCUCGAUGUCGGCUCAUCUCAUCCUGGGGCUGUAGCCGGUCCCAAGGGUAUGGCUGUUCGCCAUUUAAAGAGGUACGUGAGCUGGGUUUAAAACGUCGUGAGACAGUUUGGUCCCUAUCUUCCGUGGGCGCUGCAAGAUUGAGAGAGCCUGCUCCUAGUACGAGAGGACCGGAGUGGACGCACCUCUGCUGUAUCGGUUGUCACGCCAGUGGCAUCGCCGAGUAGCUAAGUGCGGAAGAGAUAACCGCUGAAAGCAUCUAAGCGGGAAACUCGUCUCAAGAUGAGUCUUGCCGGGGCCUAGAGCCCCCUGAAGGGUCGUUCGAGACCAGGACGUUGAUAGGCUGGGUGUGGAAGCGCGGUAACGCGUUAAGCUAACCAGUACUAAUUGCCCGUGAGGCUUGACCCU